CUACGGGGUGCACCAGUGGGGAAUAUUGGACAAUGGGGGAAACCCUGAUCCAGCAAUGCCGCGUGUGUGAAGAAGGCCUGCGGGUUGUAAAGCACUUUCGGUUGGGAGGACUGCUUCUAGCACUAAUAUUGUUGGAAGUUGACGUUACCUUCAGAAGAAGCACCGGCUAACUCCGUGCCAGCAGCCGCGGUAAUACAGGAGGGUGCAAGCGUUAAUCGGAAUUACUGGGCGUAAAGCGCGCGUAGGCGGCUAGAUCAGUCGGGUGUGAAAGCCCCGGGCUUAACCUGGGAACUGCAUCCGAUACUGUCUAGCUGGAGUACAGGAGAGGAGAGUGGAAUUCCACAUGUAGCGGUGAAAUGCGUAGAUAUGUGGAGGAACACCAAUGGCGAAGGCAGCUCUCUGGCCUGAUACUGACGCUGAGGUGCGAAAGCGUGGGGAGCAAACAGGAUUAGAUACCCUUGUAGUC
rnacentral:rRNA from 1 species